GAUGAACGCUGGCGGCGUGCUUAACACAUGCAAGUCGAGCGAAGCACUUAGGAAAGAUUCUUCGGAUGAUUUCCUAUUUGACUGAGCGGCGGACGGGUGAGUAACGCGUGGGUAACCUGCCUCAUACAGGGGGAUAACAGUUAGAAAUGACUGCUAAUACCGCAUAAGACCACAGGACCGCAUGGUGCAGAGGUAAAAACUCCGGUGGUAUGAGAUGGACCCGCGUCUGAUUAGCUGGUUGGUGGGGUAACGGCCUACCAAGGCGACGAUCAGUAGCCGGCCUGAGAGGGCGACCGGCCACAUUGGGACUGAGACACGGCCCAAACUCCUACGGGAGGCAGCAGUGGGGAAUAUUGCACAAUGGGGGAAACCCUGAUGCAGCGACGCCGCGUGAAGGAAGAAGUAUUUCGGUAUGUAAACUUCUAUCAGCAGGGAAGAAAAUGACGGUACCUGACUAAGAAGCCCCGGCUAACUACGUGCCAGCCGCCGCCGUAACAC
rnacentral:rRNA from 1 species